rnacentral:rRNA from 1 species
AGCAGCCGCGGUAAUUCCGGCUCCAAUAGCGUAUAUUAAAGUUGUUGCAGUUAAAAAGCUCGUAGUUGAAUUUCGGGGUCAGUAGGUCGGUCGUGCCACUGGUAUGAACUGGUUUUACUGAUUCCUCCCUCUUGAAGAACUGUAAUGCCAUUAAUUUGGUGUUGCAGGGAAUCAGGACUGUUACUUUGAAAAAAUUAGAGUGUUUAAAGCAGGCUUUAGCUUGAAUACAUUAGCAUGGAAUAAUGAAAUAGGACGUUUGAUCCUAUUUUGUUGGUUUCUAGGAUUGACGUAAUGAUUAAUAGGGAUAGUUGGGGGCAUUAGUAUUCAAUUGUCAGAGGUGAAAUUCUUGGAUUUAUUGAAGACUAACUACUGCGAAAGCAUUUGCCAAGGAUGUUUUCAUUAACCAAGAACGAAAGUUAGGGGAUCGAAGACGAUCAGAUACCGUCGUAGUCUUAACCAUAAACUAUGCCGACUAGGGAUCGGAUGAUGUUAAUUUUUUAAUGACUCAUUCGGCGCCUUA